UGGGGAAUAUUGCACAAUGGAGGGAACUCUGAUGCAGCGACGCCGCGUGAACGAAGAAGGCUUUCGAGUCGUAAAGUUCUUUUAUAUGGGAAGAUAAUGACGGUACCAUAAGAAAAAGCCCCGGCUAACUACGUGCCAGCAGCCGCGGUAAUACGUAGGGGGCUAGCGUUGUCCGGAAUCACUGGGCGUAAAGGGUUCGCAGGCGGAAAUGCAAGUCAGGUGUGAAAGCGUGAGGCUUAACCUCAUUAAGCACUUGAAACUGAUAGACUUGAGUGAAGGAGAGGAAAGUGGAAUUCCUAGUGUAGCGGUGAAAUGCGUAGAUAUUAGGAGGAAUACCGGUGGCGAAGGCGACUUUCUGGACUUUUACUGACGCUCAGGUACGAAAGCGUGGGGAGCAAACAGG
rnacentral:rRNA from 1 species